UGCUGGGCUCCUCGCAACAUUAAAUUGUGAAUUCCGUCAGGUCCGAAAGGAAGCAGCGGCAGCAGUGAAUAUGUGUGUCGAGGCAGGAACGGUCCGG
rnacentral:SRP_RNA from 1 species